UCGUCUGAGGCGGCCAUUUUGAGAUUGUCCGACGGACGCGACAGAAAGCGGGGGAUUUUCUGGUUCGGAGACCAGAGAGGCCGGAUGGUGAAAUCCUCCCUCCAACGGAUACUCAAUAGCCAUUGCUUUGCCAGAGAAAAAGAAGGAAAUAAAAGAAUCUACGCCAUGCCUCUUCUGAGUAUACCCAGUAGUAGUGAAAGUUCCAGAGUUUCUUUCAAUUGCUGUAGUAACCUGGGUCCGGGGCCUCGGUGGUGUUCCUGAUGUCCCUCACCCACCCCUGAAGAUCCCAGGUGGGCGAGGGAAUAGUCAGAGGGAUCACAAUCUUUCAGCUAAUUUAUUUUAUUCUGAUAAUAGGCUGAAUAUAACAGAAGAGCUUACAUCCAACAACAGGACCAGAAUACUCAAUGUCCAAUCAAGUCUGACAGAUGGCAAACAAGUGAGUUGGAGAGCUGUGCUAAACAAUAACAACCUCUACAUAGAAAUCCCAAGUGGCACUCUACCUGAUGGCAGCAAAGACAGUUUUGCAAUUCUACUGGAAUAUGCAGAAGAGCAACUCCAAGUGGAUCAUGUCUUUAUCUGCUUCCACAAGAACAGGGAUGAUAGAGCUAUGCUUCUCCGAACUUUUAGAUUCUUGGGCUUUGAGAUUGUGAUACCUGGACAUCCCCUUGUCCCGAAAAGACCAGAUGCUUGCUUUAUGGCUUACACAUUUGAAAGAGAUUCUUCUGAUGAAGAUUAGAGCCCUGCAAUGUUUGCUUUUUGUUUUUUCCCUUUCCCCACAUCUAUAGAUGGAAUGCAAGAAAUCUUGUCAAAUUAAGCUAUUGAUUUAUACCUGUGCCCAUAUCGGUCUAAGAAUAGGGGCAAGAUCUUGAGUUUUUUUUUUUUUGUCUGCAUGUUAUGAAUAAAUGCCACUCCAAUUUAUUGCUAUAUGAAUGGAGGUUUAAUGUGUUUUGUGAUAGCAGAGUACUUUUCUUUAAUUCUAAAUAAAACAUUUCUAUUUUA